GACCCGGUGGCCUAAUGGAUAAGGCGUCUGACUUCGAAUCAGAAAAUUGCGAGUUCGAGUCUCGUCCGGGUCG
rfam:Lingula anatina scaffold86, whole genome shotgun sequence.